UACGUAGGGUGCAAGCGUUGUCCGGAAUUAUUGGGCGUAAAGAGCUCGUAGGCGGUCUGUCGCGUCUGGUGUGAAAAUCCAGGGCUUAACCCUGGACCUGCAUCGGGUACGGGCAGACUAGAGUGCGGUAGGGGAGAUCGGAAUUCCUGGUGUAGCGGUGAAAUGCGCAGAUAUCAGGAGGAACACCGGUGGCGAAGGCGGAUCUCUGGGCCGUAACUGACGCUGAGGAGCGAAAGCUAGGGUAGCAAACGGG
rnacentral:rRNA from 1 species